CAUGCAAGUCGAGGGGCAGCAUAAAUUACUUGUAAUUUGAUGGCGACCGGCGAACGGGUGCGUAACGCGUAUGCAACUUACCUUUUACUAGAGAAUAGCCAAGAGAAAUUUUGAUUAAUGCUCUAUGUUCUUAUUUACUCGCAUGAGUAAAUAAGCAAAGCUCCGGCGGUAAAAGAUGGGCAUGCGUCCUAUUAGCUUGUAGGUGAGGUAAUGGCUCACCUAAGCUCCGAUAGGUAGGGGUCCUGAGAGGGAGAUCCCCCACACUGGUACUGAGACACGGACCAGACUUCUACGGAAGGCAGCAGUAAGGAAUAUUGGACAAUGGAGGCAACUCUGAUCCAGCCAUGCCGCGUGAAGGAAGACGGCCUUAUGGGUUGUAAACUUCUUUUAUACAGGAAGAAACCUUUCCACGUGUGGAAAGUUGACGGUACUGUAAGAAUAAGGAUCGGCUAACUCCGUGCCAGCAGCCGCGGUAAUACGGAGGAUCCAAGCGUUAUCCGGAAUUAUUGGGUUUAAAGGGUCCGCAGGCUGUUUGUUAAGUCAGAGGUGAAAUCCUACCGCUCAACGGUAGAACUGCCUUUGAUACUGGCAAACUUGAGU
rnacentral:rRNA from 1 species